rnacentral:rRNA from 1 species
CGGGGGGCAGCAGUGGGGAAUAUUGGACAAUGGGCGAAAGCCUGAUCCAGCAAUGCCGCGUGAGUGAUGAAGGCCUUAGGGUUGUAAAGCUCUUUUACCAGGGAUGAUAAUGACAGUACCUGGAGAAUAAGCUCCGGCUAACUCCGUGCCAGCAGCCGCGGUAAUACGGAGGGAGCUAGCGUUGUUCGGAAUUACUGGGCGUAAAGAGUACGUAGGCGGUGAUUCAAGUCAGAGGUGAAAGCCUGGAGCUCAACUCCAGAACUGCCUUUGAAACUAGAUCGCUAGAAUUGUGGAGAGGUUAGUGGAAUUCCGAGUGUAGAGGUGAAAUUCGUAGAUAUUCGGAAGAACACCAGUGGCGAAGGCGACUAACUGGACACAUAUUGACGCUGAGGUACGAAAGCGUGGGGAGCAAACAGGAUUAGAUACCCGAGU